GCCCGUUUAGCUCAGUGGUAGAGCGCGCCACUAGUAAUGGUGAGGUCGGUUGUUCAAUCCAGCCAAUGGGCA